rnacentral:tRNA from 1 species
GGAGAGGUGCCGGAGCGGCCGAUCGGGGCGGUCUCGAAAACCGUUGUGGCGCUCGUCGUCACCGUGGGUUCGAAUCCCACCCUCUCCGCUA